rnacentral:lncRNA from 1 species
AAAAAAAAAGCUUAGUCUGUACCGAAACACAAAGAUGAGAUGUUGUGUCCACCCUCCUCCCCCAAUUUCCUUCACAGCUGCUCCCUGAAGGAGAAAUGAGAUAUUGUUUUCGUGUGUGUAUGUGAGUGUGUGUGUGCAAGAGAGUAUGUGUGAGAGAGAGACAAACUAUUUUCAUUCAAAACAUUUUUUUUUUUUUUUGCUAUGUGGAUUUUCUAAUUUAAUUUUUUUGGUCAGAAUGCACUUUUAAGUUCCAGCAGGACGUGUUGCAACAUGUUUUUAAACAUCUGGUGUUUAUUUUUCAUUUUUGUGUAAAUGAAAAAUCAACAGGCUCGUUUCCUGAAGUGGAACACAGACUCUAAUGGGAGCCAGGCAGCACAGCGAGGGUCGAGGCAGAGCUGGCUUUCUCCACGGUCCUGGGCAGCCGCCUGACUUCUCUGAGCCACAGUCUCCUCGUUGCACUGACAAAGCUCUUCUGCACGCACUGUCUGUGAAUGGGAACUACCGGCCGGCCUCUCAGCCCAGUGUCAGCCAUCCCUCUCCUUCUCAGACUCAGCCGUGCCCACAAGUGAAGAAAAGGAUUUCUAUGUCUUCACUGAAGUCUCCCAGCGGUCCUUCACUCUGGCUACAAAUACUUACCAUUAAAUGAGAAACUUCAGCACAUGAACAUUUGAAAGAGUCUCCUUGAGCGGACGCAGAGCCAGAGAGACGGAGCGUGGCGUGAGGAAGGAGGCCACGUGCAGAGUGCAGCUGGGGAAGAUGCUUCUAUUUUGAAACUACUGCAGGCCCCCUAGCCUGAGUACCAGGGGAAGACCACACUCCUGGGUAAAUACCAUCUGCUAUUUCCCUUAGAUGAAACUGGUUAUCUGAAAAAGGAAAUACAAAACAUAGAUUCUAUUUUUCUGCACUAUGUGUCUCUGAUGGUAAUAAUAAUAGUUGUGCAACCUAGAGUGUGGUUAUUAAACCUAUCUUACGGUCACAAAGGAGCUGUAAGGAAGCCAAGAGGCACAGAAGCCCUGAGGGAGGAUUUGGAGGUUUUGCAAAUUCCAAACAAUUCUGCAGAUGAACUGGAGUAACCCACCACAGAGCAGAAGAGACAGACUCAAACUCCAAGUGCAUCUUGUCUUCGUGGAGUUUGUCUUGAAACCAGAAGAAUUUCCUCCGUGUGUUAUUCUCAGUUUUAUCCACACAAGGUGGUUCAGCACUCAAUCUAGAGGACAUUUGUUGAAUAUAAAUGUCUGUCUCCCUAGCACAAAAUAACUGGGACAUUAUUCCAUGGAACAUUCCAUGAGUCCAUAGAAUAGUUUAUUCCAUGAUCCAAAUGGUCUGAUUGAUUCUUCCACCAAAUUCCAUAACUAAUUACUCUGUGUGUGUGUGUAUGUGUGUGUGUGUGUGUGUUUGGGGGUGUGGUACUGAUCAGCCCAGAGCUGGAGCCCUUGAGCUCCGGGAGAAAAGCACCCUUUUCUGAAAGCUUCUCAUGGUGGGAUCAGAGCUAGCCUUGGGACUUUAGCGAGGGGUCUGAGACCAAUAUGAAGAGGGAAGAAAGAAGGGUCUGGAUGAUUUUGAACCAUUUUUGUGGGAAAACAAGAUGACUGUCUCAUGAAGUACCAACCAGACCUGGAACCCAGGCACACACACACAGUGUUCCUAUCAUUCUUCCCUCAGAAGGAGGCUGGUCCUCUCUCCUCCAUAUGCUUCUAGGGCAGUGAGGGCCCAUUCCGGACUCUCCCUCUGUCUCCACCCCUCACGUUGUCUCCGACAUGGCCCUUGAGGCUCAUUUCACCCAUUUUUGCCUGGGUGAAAAUAAUGGAGGAGGGCAGUGAUCCUGCCCCACACCUGACCCCCACCCAUCAGCCCUUGCAGUACUGAACAAGCUGAACUUGGGGAUGAAUAAGAAAGAGUUCUGAGAAAAGAGGAGAAGCAGAGGAAGACCAGAGUUGUCACUUGGGGACAAAAGUGACCUUACCUCUUGUUGACUCCACAUUCCCUUCCUUUGGGAAGCUUUUCUUUCUCUAUUUUAUAGCAAUCUGCCCAGUCCAUAUGGUUGGAUGAGACUGGCUGGCUUUAUCCUGUACCACCACUGCAGGGGCAGGCACAUGACCCAACCCGGACACUUAGAGCAAUCCCUCAGGCAGGACCCUGCAUCCAGAGCGGUCAAUCUUCCCUCAGAUGUUUGCUGAAUCUUUCAGGGAAUACUCUCCUU